CCCUUAGAUGUUCUGGGCCGCACGCGCGCUACACUGAUGGAUUCAUCGAGCUUUCUCCCUUGACUGAGAGGUCUGGGCAAUCUUUUGAACGUCCAUCGUGCUGGGGAUAGAUGAUUGUAAUUAUUCAUCUUCAACGAGGAAUUCCUAGUAAACGCAAGUCAUCAACUUGCAUUGAUUACGUCCCUGCCCUUUGUACACACCGCCCGUCGCUACUACCGAUUGAAUGGAUUAGUGAGCUUCAAGGAUCGGU
rnacentral:rRNA from 1 species